GCGGCCUCCUCCUGGAAAUAUUUCAGCCUUCUUCUUCAGUCUCCCCCAAGUUGAAGGCUGCCAGACUAAACAGAGGAUACCCAUUUCAGUUUGAAUUUCGGAUCAAUGAGGAAUACAUUUGGGGGGUAUAAGUAUAUUCCAUGUGGUAUCUGGGAUAUACGUCUAUUCAAAAAUUAUUCCUGUUGACCUGAAAUUCAAAUUGAGCUGGGGAUCCUAUUUAUUUUAUUUUAUUUUAUUUUAUUUUAUUUUAUUUUAUUUUAUUUUAUUAUUUUAUUUUAUUGUAUUGUUUUUGCUAACUCUGGCAACUCUACCUCCAAACUCAGAUCCCUUUUUCUGCCCCAGCCGUGUCCCUGGAAAACUGUCACCUCCCAGCCUUGGUGAGCUCCUUGAGGGCAGCACCUGUCCAGGAUUCCCAGUGUGGGAGACAAAAUAUGGCAGGAGUAAUUGUGUCGAACACCUCAGAGACUAGGUCAUGAAAGUCACCGUCCCCUCCCUGCUCUCUCUUGGGUCACCUGCUCCAGCGGAAGCCAGCUGCCAUGUUGCGAGGACAUCCAAGAAGCCCAGCUGCUGUGUGGACAAUGGACUAAGGGGGCAGGGGUGAGAGCAGAGCCACUUGGGAAGCCGGUACAACAAUCAUCCAGAUCUAUUGUCUGCAGAGAUGACCCUUGAAGUUCAGGCAUGUUUCAGUACCUGGUAGAGGAGGGUGAGAGGUGCUGCCUGGUAGGGGUGGAAGGCUCUCUGAAAGAAGAGGCAUGGAUGAUGCGGCUUUGAAGAAAGCAGACACCAAAAAUCUGAGAAGUGGGAGAAGAAUAAGAAUGGUGUGGCAUCGGGGAAGUCACUCCUUCAUUCCUGACCAUGCAGAGCCUUGUAGGCCAGGGUGAGUGCCAUGGGGACCCAGUGGGCCGAGGUGGCCUGAUUUGUGCUGAGAGCCUUCUAGUUGCUUGAGGAAUCAGAUCGCCAGGUGAAAUGCAGGACAUCCAGUUAAACUGGAAUGUCAAAUAAACAACAAAUGAUUGUUUAAGCCUCAGUAUAUCCUAGAUAUGGCAUGGGACGUACUUGUACUUAUGCUAAAAUAGUAUAGUCCUUCUGAAAUGCAAAUGUAACGGGGCAUCCCAGAUUUUUAUUUGCAGGGAGGACAGAACGUAGGGGACAAAGUCAGGUUCAGGUGACUGAUGAUCAUGGAUGAGACAUAGGCAGAUACGCAAGCCCUGUGUUGGGAGAACUUUGGCUUCUACUGAGUGAGCUGGGGUAGCCCUGGGAGCCUGAGUGUAGGACAGCUGUGCCCUGACUUGGGUAGGAGGCUUCCAGACCCAGCCCUGGCACUUGGCAACCACCUGCCCCCGUGGAUUGUCCCAGCCCAGCAUCUUUCCCCUUCAACAGUGCUGACAUUUGGGGCC